rnacentral:tRNA from 2 species
GCGCCCGUAGCUCAGCUGGAUAGAGUGUCGCACUACGAAUGCGAAGGUCAGAGGUUCGAAUCCUCUCGGGCGUA